rnacentral:rRNA from 1 species
UACGAAGGGGGCUAGCGUUGCUCGGAAUCACUGGGCGUAAAGCGCACGUAGGCGGAUUGUUAAGUCAGGGGUGAAAUCCUGGAGCUCAACCUCCAGAACUGCCUUUGAUACUGGCGAUCUCGAGUCCGGGAGAGGUGAGUGGAACUGCGAGUGUAGAGGUGAAAUUCGUAGAUAUUCGCAAGAACACCAGUGGCGAAGGCGGCUCACUGGCCCGGUACUGACGCUGAGGUGCGAAAGCGUGGGGAGCAAACAGG